rnacentral:snoRNA from 12 species
UGGCCAAGGAUGAGAACUCUUAAUCUGAUUGGGCAUGCUUGUGCUCUGAUGGGUUAAAGGAUUUACCUGAGGCCA